AUUGAACGCUGGCGGCAUGCUUUACACAUGCAAGUCGAACGGUAACAGGCCGCAAGGUGCUGACGAGUGGCGAACGGGUGAGUAAUGCAUCGGAACGUGCCCAGUCGUGGGGGAUAACGCAGCGAAAGCUGCGCUAAUACCGCAUACGAUCUAUGGAUGAAAGCGGGGGACCGCAAGGCCUCGCGCGAUUGGAGCGGCCGGUGUCAGAUUAGGUAGUUGGUGGGGUAAAGGCUCACCAAGACGACGAUCUGUAGCUGGUCUGAGAGGACGACCAGCCACACUGGGACUGAGACACGGCCCAGACUCCUACGGGAGGCAGCAGUGGGGAACUUUGGACAAUGGGCGCAAGCCUGAUCCAGCAAUGCCGCGUGCAGGAAGAAGGCCUUCGGGUUGUAAACUGCUUUUGUACGGAACGAAACGGUCCUGGUUAAUACCUGGGGCUAAUGACGGUACCGUAAGAAUAAGCACCGGCUAACUACGUGCCAGCCGCCGCGGUAACAC
rnacentral:rRNA from 1 species